AGCCGGUGACAGGUGCUGCAUGGCUGUCGUCAGCUCGUGUCGUGAGAUGUCGGGUUAAGUCCCGCAACCGAGCGCAACCCUUGUCCUUAGUUGCCAUCAUUUAGUUGGGCACUCUAAGGAGACUGCCGGUGUUAAACCGGAGGAGGUGGGGAUGACGUCAAGUCCUCAUGGCCCUUAUGUCCAGGGCUACACACGUGCUACAAUGGCCGGUACAAAGGGCAGCAAAGCCGCGAGGUGGAGCAAAUCCCAGAAAACCGGUCUCAGUUCGGAUUGGAGUCUGCAACUCGACUCCAUGAAGUUGGAAUCGCUAGUAAUCGCGGAUCAGCAUGCCGCGGUGAAUACCGGUUCCCGGGCCUU
rnacentral:rRNA from 1 species